CACAGGGCGGUGGAGCGCCGUUAUGGAUGUGUGUGGUCUAGGUGGCAGUAAAACCCAGCUCCUAGAACAUAGUAUUUGACUUGAUUGGUGUGUCAUAUGGUGGAUUCACGUUUCUCUGAAAAUAACCAUGCAAAGCAAUAUAUCCAAAAGUGAAGAGUACCUGGCCUUCAGAAGCUCAGUGCCACUUAAAAGUGUUGUUGUGGAUUAUGAUGACAGCAAGGUGUGGAGGCUGUAUGAUGUGGGUCGCGCUCUGACGCCUGCCCCAUCGUCUU